ensembl:lncRNA
CCCAUUACGAAAGUGUUGGAUUUCAGUCAAGGGCUGGCCUAUGGGGCUGGCUGCAGACUGCCGAAUAGUCAGCCAUGUUGUUUUUGUGACAGAGCUAUCAGCAACAGGUACAGUUGGAAAUCCAUCAUAUUCCGCCCGAAAUAUUUCUCUCUGGACUGUAUAUUCAUCUAACGAUUACUGGAGGCACAGGCGGAGGAAAGGAUCGUCUAAACCGAAGCCUUUCGGAAUCAUUUAGCAGCGCAUUUAUGUCUUUUUCGGCUGUUCGGAGAACUGGGGUGCUGAGCAGCAGGCAUUGGGUGUGGCAGGAAACAGCUGAACACUGAACAACGAUUCCAGUUUCCUGUCUGUGCUGGUUAAAUGCACAGGUGAGCCGUGUGUGUGUGUGUGUGUGUGUGUGUGUGUGGGCCUGAGGGGUACUCCUGUGGAACUCUCCUCCACACCCCCCCCUGGCUCGGAGGCAAAUAGCUUAACCCAAACAGGUGAAGAGA